GAUGAAGAACGUAGCGAAAUGCGAAAAGUAAUGUGAAUUGCAGAAUUCAGUGAAUCAUCGAAUCUUUGAACGCACAUUGCGCCCGCCAGUAUUCUGGCGGGCAUGCCUGUCUGAGCGUCAUUUCAACCCUCACGCCCCUAGGGCGUGGUGUUGGGGAUCGGCCGGCGCCCGCGAGGGCAAGGCCGUCCCCCAAAUCUAGUGGCGGACCCGUCGUGGCCUCCCCUGCGAAGUAGUGAUAUUCCGCAUAGGAGAGCGACGAGCCCCUGCCGUUAAACCCCCAACUUUCUCAGGUUGACCUCAGAUCAGGUAGGAAUACCCGCUGAACUUAAGCAUAUCAAUAAGCGGAGGA
rnacentral:misc_RNA from 1 species